rnacentral:rRNA from 1 species
UACGAAGGGGGCGAGCGUUGUUCGGAUUUACUGGGCGUAAAGGGCGCGCAGGCGGUUCUGUUUGUCGAGUGUGAAAGCCCCGGGCUCAACCUGGGAACUGCGCUCGAAACGGCGGAACUAGAGUCCGGAAGAGGAGAGCGGAAUUCCCGGUGUAGGGGUGAAAUCCGUAGAUAUCGGGAGGAAUACCAAUGGCGUAGGCAGCUCUCUGGCUCGUAACUGACACUGAGAUUCGAAAGCAUGGGUAGCAAACAGG